rnacentral:rRNA from 1 species
AAUGAACGCUGGCGGCAGGCCUAACACAUGCAAGUCGAACGGAUCCUUCGGGAUUAGUGGCGGACGGGUGAGUAACGCGUGGGAACAUACCCUUUGGUACGGAAUAGCCUCGGGAAACUGGGAGUAAUACCGUAGGUGGUCGAGAGACGAAAGAUUUAUCGCCAAAGGAUUGGCCCGCGUUGGAUUAGGUAGUUGGUGGGGUAAUGGCCUACCAAGCCGACGAUCCAUAGCUGGUUUGAGAGGAUGAUCAGCCACACUGGGACUGAGACACGGCCCAGACUCCUACGGGAGGCAGCAGUGGGGAAUCUUGGACAAUGGGGGAAACCCUGAUCUAGCCAUGCCGCGUGGUCGAUGAAGGCCUUAGGGUUGUAAAGAUCUUUCAGGUGGGAAGAUAAUGACUGCACCACCAGAAGAAGCCCCGGCUAACUCCGCGCCAGCAGCCGCCGUAAAAC